UCAUAGUCUUUUUAUUUUUUAUUUCGGUUUUUUCUAUUCUUUAAAAUCUAAAAAAUAAAAAAGGGGUACCUUUCUAUUGCGGUGCGCCAUCGUCGGUGACUCCUUCCGUGCGUCGAGACCGUAGGAGCCCUUCGGGGUUUCGUUUAGGCCGAGCCAAGGGGGAAACGGGCUAAAGAGGGAGACUUUUUCUUUCUUUCUUUCAUUUUUCCGGCACGGCGAAGCCUUCGUGCGAGCCCAACGGCGCCGUGGCCGGAUUCAAAGGGGAGGGGAAGCGUUUUUGAAACAGAGAGAAAAAGAGAAUGUUUUGAGGGUUUUUUUUAUUUUUAACUGUAAAAAAUGAAUUUUUUGGAUGAAAAUUUUGUUUAAAU
rnacentral:lncRNA from 1 species